CAGCAGCCGCGGUAAUACGUAGGUGGCAAGCGUUGUCCGGAAUUAUUGGGCGUAAAGGGCUCGCAGGCGGUUUCUUAAGUCUGAUGUGAAGGCCCCCGGCUCAACCGGGGAGGGUCAUUGGAAACUGGGAAACUUGAGUGCAGAAGAGGAGAGUGGAAUUCCACGUGUAGCGGUGAAAUGCGUAGAGAUGUGGAGGAACACCAGUGGCGAAGGCGACUCUCUGGUCUGUAACUGACGCUGAGGAGCGAAAGCGUGGGGAGCGAACGGGAUUAGAUACCCGUGUAGUCCCUGUCUCUUAUAC
rnacentral:rRNA from 1 species